rnacentral:rRNA from 1 species
GGGCAGCUACCCAGCAAUGGGAUGCGAAUCUCGAAAGACCUGUCUCAGUUCGGAUUGGAGGCUGAAACCCGCCUCCAUGAAGUUGGAUUCGCUAGUAAUCGCGCAUCAGCCAUGGCGCGGUGAAUACGUUCCCGGGCCUUGUACACACCGCCCGUCAAGCCAUGGGAGCCGGGGGUGCCUGAAGUUCGUGACCGCAAGGAGCGACCUAGGGCAAAACUGGUGACUGGGGCUAAGUCGUAACAAGGUACC